CAUUGUCGAGACCCGCAAGAGACCGAGCAAUUUUGACAACCAGUGAACUAAAUGUACGGCGGAAGCGAAAGCUCGCCGUCGCCACCGCCCAUACCGCUGCGGCGGCCUCCUCGACUGGGGCGGCGCCGCGCGGGCUGGGUGGAAAACAAAAAAUCGGCGCAGUUCUGCGCCAAGGGACAUGGAUUAUAUGCGAGCAUCCUCGGCACUUCCCCAGGCCCCAUGGGCUCUGCGGGGUGCUGUCGUGCUUCUUAUGGAUUGUAGGACUCUCGGCAAUGGAUAUCUUGGCUCUUGCAUCGAUGAAGAACGCAACGAAAUGCGAUACGUGGUGCGAAUUGCAGAAUCCCGUGAACCAUCGAGUUUUUGAACGCAAGUUGCGCCUGAGGCCAACUGGCCAAGGGCACGUCCGCCUGGGCGUCAUGCAUUACGUCGCUCCGCCCUUCAUCCACAUCCAAUGCGGUGUGAUGGACACGGGUCGGAUGCGGAGAGUGUCCCGUCGUGCAUUUAGUUGCGCGGCGGGAUGAAGAACGGCUUGCUUUCCUCUUGGACGGGGGUCGGUAAGGGGUGGAUGGAAGCUGCCAUCUGUUUGGCGCACAUUAUCGCUACCGCGCCUUCGUGUUGAGGGAACAUGGGCUAACAUCCUAGGCGUGCCCGGCUCAGAUGCAGCAGGUGCCGCCUUCAAAUGCGACCCCAGGAUGGGCGGGAU
rnacentral:rRNA from 1 species